rnacentral:rRNA from 1 species
UACGUAGGGGCCUAGCGUUGUCCGGAUUUAUUGGGCGUAAAAAGCUCGUAGGCGGCUUGGUAAGUCAGGUGUGAAAUCUCCACGCUCAACGUGGAGGGGCCACCCGAAACUGCCAUGGCUUGAGUCCGGUAGGGGAGUGUGGAAUUCCCGGUGUAGCGGUGAAAUGCGCAGAUAUCGGGAGGAACACCCGUAGCGAAGGCGGCACUCUGGGCCGGUACUGACGCUGAGGAGCGAAAGCGUGGGGAGCAAACAGG